UAGGGAAUAUUGGGCAAUGGAGGAAACUCUGACCCAGCAACGCCGCGUGAAGGAUGAAGGUUUUCGGAUUGUAAACUUCUGAUCUGUGGGAAGAAAAAAAUGACGGUACCACAGGAGAAAGCCACGGCAAACUAUGUGCCAGCAGCCGCGGUAAUACAUAGGUGGCAAGCGUUGUCCGGAAUUACUGGGUGUAAAGGGAGUGUAGGUGGUUAUUUAAGUUGAAUGUGAAGGCUCUGGGCUCAACCCGGAAAGGUCAUUCAAUACUGGGUAACUUGAGUGCAGGAGGGGUAAGCGGAAUUCCUAGUGUAGCGGUAAAAUGCGUAGAUAUUAGGAGGAACACCAGAGGCGAAGGCGGCUUACUGGACUGUAACUGACACUGAGGCUCGAAAGCGUGGGGAGCAAACA
rnacentral:rRNA from 1 species